rnacentral:rRNA from 1 species
CUACGGGUUGCUGCAGUGGGGAAUAUUGCACAAUGGAGGAAACUCUGAUGCAGCAACGCCGCGUGGAGGAUGACACAUUUCGGUGCGUAAACUCCUUUUAUAUGAGAAGAUAAUGACGGUAUCAUAUGAAUAAGCACCGGCUAACUCCGUGCCAGCAGCCGCGGUAAUACGGGGGGUGCAAGCGUUACUCGGAAUCACUGGGCGUAAAGAGCAUGUAGGCGGAUAGAAAAGUUGGAAGUGAAAUCCUGUGGCUUAACCAUAGAACUGCUUCCAAAACUCUCUAUCUAGAAUAUGGGAGAGGUAGAUGGAAUUUCUGGUGUAGGGGUAAAAUCCGUAGAGAUCAGAAGGAAUACCGAUUGCGAAGGCGAUCUACUGGAACAUUAUUGACGCUGAGAUGCGAAAGCGUGGGGAGCAAACAGGAUUAGAUACCCCAGUAGUC